rnacentral:rRNA from 1 species
GACGAACGCUGGCGGCGUGCCUAAUACAUGCAAGUCGAACGCAGUGGGGACGGGUAAGUACCACGUGGGUAACCUCCCAUCAGAGGGGAUAACACUUGGAAACUGGUGCUAAACCGAUACUGAUGGAUGGACUCGCGGGGCAUUAGCUAGUUGGUGGGGUAACGGCUAACCAAGGCCACGAUGCAUAGCCGACCGGGGAGGGUGAGCGGCCAAACUGGGACUGAGACACGGCCCAGACUCCUAAGGUAGGCAGCAGUAGGGAAUCUUCGGCAAUGGACGAAAUUCUGACCGAGCAACGCCGCGUGAGUGAAGAAGGUUUGCGGAUCGUAAAACUCUGGUGUUAGAGAAGCGGUAUCUAACCAGAAAGCCACGGCUAACUACGUGCCAGCAGCCGCGGUAAUAC